GCUGCUCAUGAAGUGCUUUCCCAGGCUGGGA
rnacentral:piRNA from 1 species